rnacentral:lncRNA from 1 species
CGAGACAGGAUUUCCUGGAACUCACUCCGUAGACCAAGCUGGCCUGAAGCUUAGAGAUCCUCCUGCUUCGGCUUCCGAUGGAAUGAAAGGCCAGUACCAGCACCACACAGCCAUGCUUGGGUUCUUAUCCUUUCUGUUUAUCACCUGGAAAGACAUCACUCUGAAGACUCAUUGAAAUUGAACAAGCAAGCCGGGUGGUGAUGGCAGCUGCCCAGUGUCCGCUGGUUCCCUGGACCCAUGGAGCCCCUUCAGAGGAACACAAUGAGAUGCCGACUCAUGCUCUGCACUGACGCCCCCUUGAUGGACUACUGGUGCUGCUCUAGCUGAGUUUUCUGAGAUUCUAGACUUAGGUGACACCCAAUAAUUACCAGGUAAACAGACGGCCAAGAUGCUUAUGUUUCCUUGUACCCAAAGUUCAUACUUUGAACCACCUUCUGACCUAAUCUUCCUACACGGAAGCAAUAGUCCUCUGGUUCUAACCCAAUCCAGGGCUAGGAACCAGAAACAAGUCUGUCCCAAAGCCCUCUGACAUCAUUCACCCUGGCCAGUCUAGAGCUGUUCAAUCUAUAUUUUCUUUCCCACAGAAACUCUAGGUCACUUGCCUAGCAUAUAUGAGGCCUUGGCUUGGAACCCAGUCCAUCCCCCCAACCCCCCCAACCUCCUGUAGCCACCCUCAGCUACAUGAACCAGGUUUCUGAAAGGGAGGCUGGAGCUGCAUGGGAGAAAAUGGUGAGAGAAAUAACGAGACCAAGACAAAGAUUCUGAUCAAGGCCCAAAGUUUACUUAAGAGUCUGAGCUUAUAAAGGGGGGGGGGUUCCCAUCCCCUACCAUGCCAGGAUCUUGUUUUGUCAGGAUAGAGUCAGGAGAACAGGUUCAGCCUCUCAGCAGGUAGCUGCAUCUUGGAGAAAAUGGCAGAGGUGGCAGAACAAUAGACCUAUCUAUCUAGGUUGGGAGACUCCACCCUAGGUGGUCUUGUUCACAGCGGCACAACAGGUCUGAGGUAGCCUGCUCAAGGCUGGGGGAGGCUACAAUUUCUCCCUAAUUAUAUAAUAGAAAUUAGAUGGACUGAGACAUAAAAUGUACUUAUACUCCAUGGUCCUGCCUGGGAAUUAUGGUGGCUGGUGGCCACGCCUAUCUUAGGACUGCAGUCUUUAAUGAACUUAUUCUUAUCUGUCCUGGAGAACACGUGCAGCUUGUUUGUGUUUAUUUGCACAAACACGGCUCUAUUGUGUUAUUAUGAACAAACCACAACCUCUUGGCACAUGCCUCUGUCUUAUAUUGAAAAUAAGUCAUAGACCCCAUGGCCCGUCCUUGGCUCCCAGCCAAGGACUCAUUGUACACCUUUUCCCCAAUCAGACCAAAGCCACAAUAUACACUCAAUGCAUCUCUUCAUAUCGAUGAAUUUAUGCCAUCUGUGCUUGCUGAAGGUGAGUCUGCACGGAGGUAACUCCCUCCCAAAAUAAGUAAAAUGGACAUGUCUUUAUUUCCUUCCUCUCUGUACCCUGGCAUCCAUUAGUGGUUCUUCCCAGAGUCAUUUCUGAUAUAAAAUUCAAGGCCACCCAGCAAUCCCUGUGUUCACUGCCAUCAUUUCAGUCAAAUCUUCACUCUUCCUCUCUUGCUUUCAGCACUGAGACCAAAUCCAGAGCCAGGUUUCUGCUCUGCAAGUGCUCCACCAUUAAGCAACACCAGCCCCAGCAGGAUAUUUUUUACAGAAUUGAUCCAGCCUUGGUCCAGCUGAGUACUGCUGUUCUUGGUUUAUUUUGUGGCUGUGACAAAUACCUUGACAGAGAGCAGCAUGAUGGAGAAGAGGGUUUGUUUGGCUUACAAUUCCAGGUCACAGACCUUCACUGUGGGAAAGUCAAGGUAGGAACCUGAGGCAGCAAGUCACAUCUGCGGUAGGGAGCAGAGAGAAAUGCAUGCAAGCCUACCUCCUCCACUCUUGCAAAGUCCAAGACCCAAAACCAGGCACGGUACCACCAUCAAUGGGCUGUGUCUUCCCACAUCAACCAGCAUAGUUAAGACUGUUCCCCACAGGUGUGUCCAACCAGACCUAGCUAAUCCCUCACCGAAACUGUCUUCCUAGAUGAUUCUGGACUGGGGUAAGUUGACAUGAACUGUCACACCUUCCUCUCCUAAAACCCUUCAGUGGCUUUCCCUUUGUGUUUGAAUGAAACCCAAGCCUGAUCUCAUCAUCUGUAAUGUAAUUUGUGGAAGGACUGAAUGCCACACGGUGUGAGCAGCCUGCAUCCAGCCUGGCCUUUAACAGGUGCACCCCAGAGCAGGUGCCCUUGACCUUGCUUCCCAGCCUUCUCUACCACUUCCAGAGACAGUUCUUUGAAAUUAGAUAGUUCCUAGAAACAAGAUGCAUCUACUUUAAAACUUCGCCUUUUUAAAUUGUAUUUAUUAUUAUGUUGUUGUUUUGAAACAGUCUCCCUGUGUAGUCCUGGCCUAGGACUUGUGACUUUUCUCUUGCCUGUCUCCCUAGCAUGUGCCACCAUACCUUACUGCGAUUUCAUUUGAUCGACGCUCUCUGACUUCCUGUGGCCUCCCACACUCCCUUCCAAGGGCAUUUGGAGUAUAGCAAGAACCUGUUCUUACAAGCUUUUGCUUGUUCCAGCUACUAGAAUAUUCUGCAUAGCUCUUACUAUGUCUGGCCCUCAUGCUAAAAUUCUCAAGGGUUCAAAGUCACUUCCUUCAAAGCUAGCCUGACUUGAGUGGCAGCACCCGACCCUGCUCUCCAUCCCAGAAUGUCACCCAUCACUGACACCUGUGUUUCCUUUGCAGCUUGGCCUAUAGCCUUCCUAAGCAUUUUCUUGCUGUGUUUCUUUUCUGCUUCUCUGGCUGGAUCAUUUGAUCUCUAUCAAUUUGCCUUGUGUCUUUAUUUUUUCUCCAGGGCUUAAGAUUGUGUCUAAUGCAUACAAGCUUCAUGGAUGGAUUCUAAUGCCGUUUUCCUGCAUCUGCCCAGCAGCAAGCUGUCACUGGGUCCCUUGACUUCUCAAAGCUCUUCUGACUCAUUGGUUGAGACCCACCUUGAUUUGAGUUUUGAACUGGGGAUACUUGAAAAGAGAGAUAGUGUGGUUCUUAGAACCAGACCCUGUGUUCGAAUUAUAAUCCCUCAGAUGCUUCUGGGGGCCACACAGCCCAACACAGAAAACAAAAGGAAGAGCAGACCCCCACGGAGCUUCAUAUCAAUUUUCACUUAGUCUUUGGUAAAGUUCCACAAUGCCUGCUUUAGAGCACACAGUAGGCACUCAAAAGCCUUAGCAGGUAUAAGACAGCAUCAAGCAUAGACCAACCAGCUGGUUUACAAGGUCAGAAUAAAAAGACAGCAAUUUAAGUGUCUUAGUCACUCUUCUGUUGCUGUAAAGAGACACCAUGGCCAAGGCAACUUAAAAAAAGAGAGCAUUUAAUUGGGAGCUUGCUUACAGUUUCAGAAGUUAGUCCAGUGGCUGUUAUGGCAGAGAGCAUAGCAGGAGGCAAACAAGCAGGCAGGCAAGCAGAAAAGGUAUUAGAACAAAGCAGCUGAGAGCUUACAUCUGAUUGGAAAGCCUGAGGCAGAAAGGCAGAUAACUGGGCCUGGUCAAAGCUUUUUCAAACUCAAAAUCCACCUCCAGCAAUACACCUCCACCAAGGCCACACCUCCUCCUCCCUCUUCUUUUUUUUUUUAAGAUUCACUUACAUUAUUUUAACUACAUGUGUGUGUGGUGGUGGUGGCAUUGCACAUGGAUGCAAAUGCUCACAGAGGUUAUAGGUAUGAGACUGCCCCUGGAGCUGGGGUGCAGACAGUUGCAAACCACCUGAAGUGGGUGCUGGGACUUGAACUCAGGUCCUCAGGAAGAGCUCUUAGUGUCUCCAGCCCCAGGCCACACCUCCUAGUCCUUUCCAAACAGUUCCAUGAACUGUGGAUUAAGCAUCUAAAUAUUUGAGCCUAUGGGGGACCAUUCUCAUUCAAACCACCCCACCACAAAUGACAAGAAAGGCUGUUUCAACAGUUGACAAUAAAGAAGGCAUGACAGUGUCUUAUGAAGGAGUUAACACAAUGACAUGGAUCUGUAGACGGCUGCCAGCCAUUCAGAGCAUAAUCAAAAGGAACAAGCUGGCACACAUGAACAUAAAUGUCCACAUACAAUGUUUGUAGACAUUUCAUUCAUAGUUGUAGCUGAGGAUGGGGCUCUGUUAGUAGAACUCUUCUCUAGCAUACACGAAGCCCUCUCUUAGUCCCCAGCACCACAUAAACCAGGCAUGGCAUAGUGGCAAACUCCAGAAACUCUAGACCUUAGGUGGUGGAGGCAAGAGAUCAGAAGUUCAAAGUCCAACUACGCAGGAAGUUCAAGACCAGCCUUAGCCAAAACAACAAAAGACCCUUUCCCAAAACAACAAAAAGUUUCAUUCAUGAUUGUCAAAAUGGACAGCAAGAUGGCUUGGCAGGAAAAGAUGCUUGCGACUAAGCCUGUGUUCUAUACAGGGUAGAAGGUAAAAGCUCCCCCUGCAAGCUGUUCUCUAACCUCUACACACACAGUAAUGGUACAUCCACACCUUUCCCUCACAGGAAAUUCAUUAAUUAAUUAUUCUUAGGGUUCCAAUUUCUGUGAUGAAACACCAUGACCAAAGGCAACGUGGAAGGAAAGAAUUUAUUUCAGCUUACACUUCCACAUCAGUCCAUCACAGAGAAGUCAGGGCAGGAACUCAAAAUUGAGCAGGACCAUGGAGGCAGGAGCUGAUACAGAGGCCAUGGAGGGCCACUAAUCACUGGCUUGCCCCUUGCGACUUUCUUACCACAUCCAGGAUCAUCAGCCCGCAGGUGCCACCAUCCACAAUGGCUGGGUCCACUCAUAUAAACCAUCAAUCAAGAGAAUGCGCCAUAGAAUGAGUCUAUUAGUCAACCUGGUGGAGGUAUUCUCUCUUUUGAGGUUCCCACUACCAAAAUUACUCUAGCCUGUGUCAGCUUGACAUAAAAAUUAGCACAUAAAUUUAGUAAAAAAAAAAAAAAAUCAAAAUUAACAAAGAUACCAUAAUUUUCAACAGUUGUAGACAAUUCAAAAGGUGAAUUAGUAAACUGAAGUUCAACAGUUCAACAAUACCAUGGGAUAUAAUUAAGCAGACUUAAUAAAUGAGCUCUCAGCUAUAAAAACAAAAACAAAAACAUGAAAGAAACUUAAGAACAUACUACUUAGUGAAGGAAGCCAUUCUGAAAAAUUCACAAAGGGCACUGUGGAAUAAACAAAAACAUAGAGAUGAAAACAUAAAGAAAUAAAAACAGACAAAACCAGAAAACUACAGUGCUGCUCUGGGGCUGUGUCUUAUUUUUCUCCCUGACGAAAGCAAUUUGAGAGGGAAAGGGUGCAUUUUUGCCACAGUUCAAGGUGGAGAAGUCAACUCAUCUGCUGCCCAGCUCUGGCUCUCCAUGUACUUGGUCCAAGAUCCUAGCGCCAGGAAUGAUUCUGUCCACAGUGGGUGAGUCUUCCCACCUCCAUUAAAAAAAAGUCAAGAUAGCUGGGCGUGGUGGCACACGCCUUUAAUCCCAGCACUCGGGAGGCAGAGGCAGGAGGAUU